rnacentral:rRNA from 1 species
GCCAGACUCCUACGGGAGGCAGCAGUGGGGAAUAUUGCACAAUGGGGGGAACCCUGAUGCAGCGACGCCGCGUGGGUGAAGGAGCACCUCGGUGCGUAAAGCCCUAUCGGCAGGGAAGAAAAGCGAACAGGUUCGCCUGGACGGUACCUGACUAAGAAGCCCCGGCUAACUACGUGCCAGCAGCCGCGGUAAUACGUAGGGGGCAAGCGGUAUCCGGAUUCACUGGGUGUAAAGGGAGCGUAGACGGCAAGGCAAGUCUGGAGUGAAAGCCCGUGGCUCAACCACGGGACUGCUUUGGAAACUGUGUUGCUGGAGUGCAGGAGGGGUAAGCGGAAUUCCUAGUGUAGCGGUGAAAUGCGUAAAUAUUAGGAGGAACACCGGUGGCGAAGGCGGCUUACUGGACUGUAACUGACGUUGAGGCUCGAAGGCGUGGGGAGCAAACAGGAUUAGAUACCCGGGUAAA